rnacentral:rRNA from 1 species
UACGUAGGGGGCUAGCGUUGUCCGGAAUCAUUGGGCGUAAAGAGCGUGUAGGCGGUCCGGUAAGUCCGCUGUGAAAGUCGGGGGCUCAACCCUCGAAUGCCGGUGGAUACUGUCGGGCUAGAGUGCGGAAGAGGCGAGUGGAAUUCCUGGUGUAGCGGUGAAAUGCGCAGAUAUCAGGAGGAACACCUAUUGCGAAGGCAGCUCGCUGGGACGUUACUGACGCUGAGGAGCGAAAGCCAGGGGAGCAAACGGG